GCUCAUUUGAAGUAAGGGGCCUGGGUUGCCCGAGAGGGGAGAAGAAGGCAUUCUGAAUGGAGACAACAGCACUGACACACUGUACAGAGACAGAAUGAGGAGAGCACUGGUAGGAAUCAGAUUCACACUGAAACAUCAGAUCUCCUGGGUCUUCAGUUUGCCAUCUCUGCAGAUACUGGGACUUGCCUGCCUUCAUACUCAUAUUACCCACCCUGGAUGAAAUUGGACAUCAUGUCAUGAGAACACAUGUAGUCGAUGAACAGGCUCACAUUGCAAGGAAGGAAAGCUUCCAACAAAGCAUCCAGCAUCAAGUCACAAGCACCAUGAGUGAGCCACUUGGAAACAGAUUCUCCAGCCUGUCAAGAAGCCUUCACAUGAAUGUAGCACUGGUCAAAAUCUGGACUGCAACCUCCUGAGAGACCCUGAGCCAAGCCACUCCUGAGUCUCUGACCCACAGAAAUUUGAAAAUAAUAAAUACUUAUUUUUGUCAUAAGCUAGUACAUAUUGGACAGUUUGUUACACAGCAAUAGAUAACUAAUGAUUUUAGUACUAGAAAUGAUAUGAUACUGUAAUAAAAACCUAAAAUGUGGGAGAGGUUUUGGAACCAAGAAGUGGGAGAAGCUGAAAGGACUUUGAGGACAGUAUUAGCAGAAUCUUGAUGGCCUUUGAAGAGGCUACUGGUGAGGGCUUAAAAGAAAGUAAAAAAAAAUGUUAUAGGAAACUAGAGGACAGGAAAUCCGUGUUAUGUCAUAGUGGCAGAAAGCUUAACAGACACUGUUACAUGCAGUUACAUGGAAAGUAGAAAAUGUACAGGGGAUGUGGGUGGCUCAGUCGGUUAAGCAUCUGACUCUUGAUCUUGGCUCAGGUCAUGACCUCAGAGUUGAGAUUCUGAACUGCGUAUUGGGCUCUGCACUGACUGUGUGGGGCCUGCUUGGGAUUCUGUCUCUCCCUCUCUCUCAAAAUAAAUAAACUUAAAAAAAUUAUUAAAAAUUUUUUAAAAAUUGAAAAAAAAAACCCAAAUAUUGUAUGAGUCCAUUUAAACAAAAAGAAAAUGUGCCAAUGAACUGGAUUAUCUAGCUAAGGUGA